GUUACCGGGGAGGGAGGGCGGAGGUCGGCUCCGGGACCCACCGGGAAGAAGGGGGAAGGGAUCGAGCCCAGAGAGGCUGCGGCGCGUGGCCUGAGGCGGAGAGCGGGACUCCGGGGGUCUGGGCCAGGCCAGGCGCCGGUCUGACCCGCCUCGCUCACAAAUGCAGGCCGGGCUUCCUCCUCCCCUGGCGGGUGGCGGGGGAGGGGAGGGGGCUUGAGGCCGGAGGGAAGAAGGGAAAGGGUGGUCGGAAUCCUUUAUGCCAGAGCCUACAAAGCUGAACCGGGCCUCGUUAGGGGACGCCUCAGCGCCCUCCUGAAGAUCUGGGAUACCACCCCAGGCACCUGGGCCUGGGUUCGGUGUUGCUUAUCCCCCCUCUUCCCCAGGAGCAUCUGGCAAAGCUGGGGGAAAGGCAAGAGAAAGGCAUCAAGGAGCCUGUUGUUACCGCUGCUGCCUAGAGCCUUUGGCUCCUGUGGUUCCUGAGGCCUCCCUCAAUAGGGUGAGGGGCUGACCAACGAUCUGGAUGCCUGGGGACCCUGCAUCCUGGAGAGGAGCAAGCGAAGGCUCAGCUAGACCCCUCCAAGGAACGGGGGACCUGGUGCAGUGUUGGGUGACCGGAACCAAUUUGGCCUAUCUGAAAACCCCAGGCCUUGGGGCUGCUGCUGUAGGCGUCAAGUUGAGCAGGGACUUUGCAAGCCGAGCGCAAGAGGAAUAGUAGGAUUCUCCUAGAGGCAGCAAAUAUUUGCAGGCUGAAGAACGAAGCCGAGCGGGGCCGUACUGCCUUGUCCCUCCCCCCGCCCCUGGAGCCCCGGCGCCGGCCUGGGCGGACCUGAGGGCGCGGUUACCGACUGAAGUGAAGCCCGGAACCUGCGGGGCUGGGAGGUCGGGGAGAGCUCAGAACCGCACCGAAGGCCAGAAACCGAGUGCACAGCCCCGGUCCCCGGCGAGCCGAGGACUAGGGGAAAAGUCCCUUCCCAUUUCAGCUCUAUCAAUCUUCCUUUGAUGCGAUUGAUCAAUAAAAACGAAGUGAAAAGAC